rnacentral:rRNA from 1 species
CUACGGGGCGCUCCAGUGAGGAAUAUUGCACAAUGGGGGGAACCCUGAUGCAGCAACGCCGCGUGGAGGAUGACGCAUUUCGGUGUGUAAACUCCUUUUAUAUGUCAAGAAAAUGACGGUAGCAUAUGAAUAAGCACCGGCUAACUCCGUGCCAGCAGCCGCGGUAAUACGGAGGGUGCAAGCGUUACUCGGAAUCACUGGGCGUAAAGGACGCGUAGGCGGGUUGGAAAGUCAGGUGUGAAAUCCCACAGCUUAACUGUAGAACUGCACUUGAAACUGCUAAUCUAGAGUAUGGGAGGGGGAGAUGGAAUUAGUGGUGUAGGGGUAAAAUCCGUAGAUAUCACUAGGAAUACCUAAAGCGAAGGCGAUCUCCUGGAACAUUACUGACGCUAAGGCGUGAAAGCGUGGGGAGCAAACAGGAUUAGAUACCCCGGUAGUC